rnacentral:lncRNA from 1 species
ACGAGUUUCUCGCGCGCCCUAUUUUUACUCAUCCACUACCUACGAGUUUCUCGCGCCCUAUUUUUACGCAUCCGCUACUUACGAGUUUCUCGCGCGUCAUAUUUUUACUCAUCCGCUACCUAGGACUUUCUCGCGCGCCGUAUUUUUACUCAUUCGCUACUACGAGUUUCUCGCGCGCCCUAUUUUUAUUCAUCCACUAUGUACGAGUUUCUCGCGCGCCCUAUUUUUACUCAUCCACUACCUACGAGUUUCUC